ensembl:lncRNA
UGAAUUUUAAUAAUAUAUUUUAUUUAACUAUUUAAUCAAAAAUAGUACCAUUUCAACAUAUACUAAUACAAAAAAAUAACAAGAAAUUCACAGUUUUUUCACUACUAAUUCUUUGAAAUCCAACACAUAUUUUGUACUUGCAGCAUAUUUUAAAUUCAGACACUAAGCUGUGAUAGUUAAUACUGAGUGUCAACUUGAUUGAAGGAUGCAAAGUAUCGUUCCUGGGUGUGUCCGUGAGGGUGUUGCCAAAGGAGAUUAACAUUUGAGUCAGUGAACUGGGAGAGACAGACCCACCCUCAAUCUAGAUGGGCACCAUCUAAUCAGCUGCCAGCGUGGCUAGAAUAAAGCAGGCAGGAGAUGGAAGAGCAGACUUGCUGAGUCAUCUGGCCUUCAUCUUUCUCCUGUGCUGGGUGCUUCCUGCCCUCAAACAAUGGACUCCAAGUUCUUCUGCUUUUGGACUCCCGGACUUACACUAGUGAUUUGCCAGGGGCUCUAAGGCCUUCGGCCACAGACUGAAGGGUGUACUGCCAGCUUCCCUACUUUUGAGAUAUCGGGACUCUGACUGGCUUCCUCGCUCCUCAGCUUGCAGAUGGCCUAUUGUGGGACUUCACCUUGUGAUCGUAUGAGUCAAUUCUCCUAAUAAGCUUCUAUAUUUUUAUAUAUAUACAUCUUAUUAGUUCUGUCCCUCUAGAGGACCCUAAUACACUAAGCUGUUUUCCAAAAUAACUGAUCUGCAUUUACAUUUCAUAAAAUUUAUAAUUGAAAAAGUAGAUUCACAUACCUAAAUUGUUCUAAAUGUACUUGAAAGUUUUCUAAUAACUGAAUCAAAUAUCAUUUAUUUUGAAUUAAAAUCAAAAUUAAAUAGCUGAAAAUCAGUUUCUCAGUCAUAAUAUUGCAAGUACUCUAGUGUACUAAAAUGCAGCUAGUGGCUAUUACAUUGAACAACAUAGCUCUAUUAUAUUUGUGUAUACAUCUCUCUUCCCUACUUAAUUGGACCAUGUCUAACUUGCCUGUAUCCUCCCCACUGCCUAAAGCUUGAACACACAAAUGGAGCUUUAUGAAAGCUUGUUGAAUAAGUAAAAAUAAAUGUGGAAGUCACUUGACCCUAGGGCAACAUGAAAUCAAGAGCGUUCUUUUGUAAAUAACAUAAAUGGAAUUUUUAUGAAUACUUACACACAUUGACACACACACACACACAUAAGCACAAGUACAUGCAUACAACCACAGGCCUGCAGCAUUAUCCACAAUAGCCAAGAUAUGGAAACAACCUAAAUGUUCAUUGAUGGAUGAAUAAAGAAAAUGUAGUAUAUACAUAAAAUGGAAUACUACUCAGCCUAAAAAAAGGAAAUCCUGCUAUAUGCGACAACAUGGGCAAACCUGAAGGGCAUUAUGCUAAGUGAAAUAAGCCAAUCACAGAAGGACAAAUGCUCCAUGUCCACCUACAUGAGUUAUCUAUAGAAGUCAAACUCAUAGAAGCAGAAAGGAGGACGGAGGUUGCCAUGGUUUAGGGGAAGGGGGAAAUGGAGAGUUGCUGUUCAGUGGGUAUAGUUUCAAUUAUACAUGAAUACAUUCCAGAGAUCUGCCGUACAAUACUGUGCAUAUAGGUAACAAGAUUAUAUUGUACACUUAAACAUUUAAGAGAGCAGAGCUCAUGUUAAAUGUUCUUACCACAAAAAAAAAGAAAAAGAAAAAGAAAACUAAUAGUGAAAAACAAAACAAAAAAAAUUACUCUGGUGUGGGAUACUGAUAGCAAGGGAGUCUACGUCAGGGAGAUGCAGUGGGUGUAUGAAAACAGUGCUGUCCUCCUCAAUUUUUCUGUGAAUAUAAAACUGCUCUGAAAAACAAAGUGCACUUAAAGAAGAAAAGAAAAUCAGUUAAGUUUAAGUACAUUCAAUUUGUUACUAAUUCCUA